GGGGUCGACUGGUUUUGACAGCAGGUUGUAUUAAACGGUAAGCACGUCGUGUAAUGACUUUGAAACACGUAAAAGGCUAAGUCAAAAUUUAAACGGCGAGAAUAACUACGCUUUAGCUGCAUAAUCUGAAUUAUAGUAAGAUUAGCCUCGUCCUACAAGGUAGGAAUGCUAAAUGUCUCUUGAAAGCCUUGGUUAACGGCGUUCUAAUUAGAGACAUCGUAAAAGUAAACCUAGAAUAGUAUAUGCUUUGGAUAUUAUUUGAAACUAAAAAAGCUAAGUUAUAAAUAGGCUGUUUUUUGUCAGUUUAUAAUCAAAAAUAAAUAAAAAACUAAACGUGUAGAAAGCUCUUUGGUAGCUUGUUUGGACCCGAGUUCGAUUCUCGGCGACUCCACAU
rnacentral:tmRNA from 1 species